UUGAUUAUUAGCCGGAUUUUUUUCGAAAAAAUCUCGGCUUAUAGAUUGAUGUUGUCGGGCGGGCGGGGUGGCGGCGUGCUCGAAAAUGUUAAAGUUGUUAUUUCAUGGUAUAACUUUGGUAUGCUUGGACCUAGAGUCUUCAAACUUGACAUGAAGGUUGGCCAGGAUUAACAGAUGACCACUGGUCAUUUCAAGGUCAUUCAUUUGAAGGUGAAGGUCACUGUGACCUUCAAUAUAAAAAUGUUAAAGUUGUUAUAACUUUGGUAUGCUUGGACCUAGAGUCUUGAAACUUGACAUGAAGGUUGGCCAGAACUAGUAAGUAACCACUGGACAUUUCAAGGUCAUUCAUUUGAAGGUCAAGGUCACUGUGACCUUGAAUGUAAAAAUGUUAAAGUUGUUAUAACUUUGGUAUGCUUGGACCUAGAGUCUUGAAACUUGACAUGAAGGUUGGCCAUAACUAGUUAGUAACCACUGGUCAUUUCAAGGUCAUUCAUUUGAAGGUCAAGGUCACUGUGACCUUGAAUGUAAAAAUGUUAAAGUUGUUAUUUCAUGGUAUAACUUUGGUAUGCUUGGACCUAGAGUCUUCAAACUUGACAUGAAGGUUGGCCAGGAUUAACAGAUGACCACUGGUCAUUUCAAGGUCAUUCAUUUGAAGGUGAAGGUCACUGUGACCUUCAAUAUAAAAAUGUUAAAGUUGUUAUAACUUUGGUAUGCUUGGACCUAGAGUCUUGAAACUUGACAUGAAGGUUGGCCAGAACUAGUAAGUAACCACUGGACAUUUCAAGGUCAUUCAUUUGAAGGUCAAGGUCACUGUGACCUUGAAUGUAAAAAUGUUAAAGUUGUUAUUUCAUGGUAUAACUUUGGUAUGCUUGGACCUAGAGUCUUCAAACUUGACAUGAAGGUUGGCCAGGAUUAACAGAUGACCACUGGUCAUUUCAAGGUCAUUCAUUUGAAGGUGAAGGUCACUGUGACCUUCAAUAUAAAAAUGUUAAAGUUGUUAUAACUUUGGUAUGCUUGGACCUAGAGUCUUGAAACUUGACAUGAAGGUUGGCCAGAACUAGUAAGUAACCACUGGACAUUUCAAGGUCAUUCAUUUGAAGGUCAAGGUCACUGUGACCUUGAAUGUAAAAAUGUUAAAGUUGUUAUAACUUUGGUAUGCUUGGACCUAGAGUCUUGAAACUUGACAUGAAGGUUGGCCAGAACUAGUAAGUAACCACUGGACAUUUCAAGGUCAUUCAUUUGAAGGUCAAGGUCACUGUGACCUUGAAUGUAAAAAUGUUAAAGUUCUUAUUUCAUGUUAUAACUUUGGUAUGCUUGUACCUAGAGUCUUCAAACUUGAAAUAAAGAUUGGCCAGUACUAGAAGAUGACCACUGGUCAUUUCAAUGUCAUUCAUUUGAAGGUCAAGGUCACUGUGACCUUAAAUGUUAAAAUGUUAAAAUUGUUAUAACUUUGGUA